rnacentral:rRNA from 1 species
UACGUAGGUGACAAGCGUUGUCCGGAUUUACUGGGCGUAAAGAGCGCGCAGGCGGUCGAUCAAGUCGAGUGUGAAAGCCCCCGGCUCAACUGGGGAGGGUCAUUCGAUACUGAUCGACUCGAAGGCAGGAGAGGGUAGUGGAAUUCCGAGUGUAGAGGUGAAAUUCGUAGAUAUUCGGAAGAACACCAGUGGCGAAGGCGGCUCACUGGACUGGUAUUGACGCUGAGGUGCGAAAGCGUGGGGAGCAAACAGG